ACAAGUAAGAUAGUUAAAAUUAAAAGAAACCAAUUCACCCCCCCCUCUUGGCUUGUCACCUUGGGCAACACUAAAGUUAAUCACAUAAUGGAUGUACUAAUUAUAGGGUUGACAGUGAGCUCUAAGUCAUCCUGGCAUUAGGAGUCAAAGAGAUUGAAUUAUAAAGUAACCAUAGUCCAGGGUUUCAGAAUAUUUGCUUCGCAUAUAUUCGGCCUAUCCGGACGUCGGAUAACAUUGCUAGGUG
rnacentral:lncRNA from 1 species